UACAAUAUGACCUCCUUCAGAAUAACAUCAUAUAAAUUGAGGUACUUACAUCACUUGGCGCUUGUUGCAAAUCCCACUCGGUUCAAUCACCUUUACAUCAGCGAUGAGAUUGUGCCUUACUGCUGGGAUCGUCUUUAUACAACGACAUUUCGGAAUUACUGGGGAGAAAUUAUUACAGCGCAAGUUAAGAAGGAGGAGCUCCUCACUUCCUUUUAUGGACUUUCUGCGCUGAGGGGAUUCCCUGCUACACAGCGAAACAAGCUGAGUGACCUCCGACUGCACCCGCCGUUUAUGUUGCUGCUGCAGAAACAUUGGCUCCUGUGGAGCAGGAAUCAAUGUUUAUAUGACAAGUCAGUAACUCCUCACUGAUACGGAUUCACUUUAGAGUUUUACAGCCUGUCAGAUAUCAUGCAUAGUUAUGUAUUCUACAUUCCUUUAGUGUAAUAGUGUUUUUUUUAAGCUAUGGUUGUCUACCCAUUUUCCUCCAACACCAACUUGUUGAUCGUUUGACCUUUCAUUGAUUGUUAUCAGCACUUGGAUGCUUCCCAGCUGCAUUGCCACACACUCCCACACACAGAAAGCUGUUGAGUUACAUUAUCUUGUGACGAUGGAGGAAGAUUGUUGUCUCAGGCUUUGAUGUUGUUGAGACAGACGCUGACGUUGUGCUGGAAGCGAACCAGCGUUCCUGCUUUGCGAUGUGAAACUCGAACCCACGGAUGAAACCGGAGAAAGUUUCUAAAAGUUUGGAAACGGUACAAUUUGGUAAUUAGGUGAAACUGCAUUUUUUUUUCUGUACCAUGUCUUGACAUUACUUUGAUUUGAUUAGUUUGUGCUGUGAUUUUUCACUCAUUUUACAUGUUUACUAAUCGGCCAGAUGAAGCUGUUUUCUCAUCGUCUCACUCCUGUCUCAAUGAUCGGUUUCAUAGUUUAACAGAAUCAUUAAAAACCAAAAUACA